rnacentral:tRNA from 2 species
GCCUCGUUAGCGCAGUAGGCAGCGCGUCAGUUUCAUAAUCAAAUCUAGAAAUCUGAAGGUCGUGAGUUCGAUCCUCACACGGGGCA